AACACGUGGUCAACCUGCCCUCAGCUCUGGGAUAACUCCAAGAAAUUGGGGCUAAUACCGGAUAUGACCGCUGACCGCAUGGUCUGGUGGUGGAAAGAUUUAUCGGCUGGGGAUGGGCCCGCGGCCUAUCAGCUUGUUGGUGGGGUAGUGGCCUACCAAGGCGACGACGGGUAGCCGGCCUGAGAGGGUGACCGGCCACACUGGGACUGAGACACGGCCCAGACUCCUACGGGAGAAAGCAGUGGGGAAUAUUGCGCAAUGGGCGAAAGCCUGACGCAGCGACGCCGCGUGGGGGAUGACGGCCUUCGGGUUGUAAACCUCUUUCAGCAGGGACGAAGCGGAAGUGACGGUACCUGCAGAAGAAGCACCGGCCAACUACGUGCCAGCAGCCGCGGUAAUACGUAGGGUGCAAGCGUUGUCCGGAAUUAUUGGGCGUAAAGAGCUCGUAGGCGGUUUGUUGCGUCGGCUGUGAAAACCUGAGGCUCAACCUCAGGCCUGCAGUCGAUACGAGCAGACUAGAGUGUUGCAGGGGAGACUGGAAUUCCUGGUGUAGCGGUGAAAUGCGCAGAUAUCAGGAGGAACACCGGUGGCGAAGGCGGGUCUCUGGGCAACAACUGACGCUGAGGAGCGAAAGCGUGGGGAGCGAACAGGAUUAGAUACCCUGGUAGUCCACGCCGUAAACGUUGGGCGCUAGGUGUGGGGCUCAUUCCACGAGUUCCGUGCCGCAGCUAACGCAUUAAGCGCCCCGCCUGGGGAGUAC
rnacentral:rRNA from 1 species